rnacentral:sRNA from 1 species
CACAAAAAAUCUAAUAUGUUAUUAAUUAUUGUAGUAUAUAAGAUUAUAAAAUUUUAAAAUAAUAUGUAUGAAAUUGAAUAUAAAUAUUCAAAUUGUGACUCAGUACUCAGUAUAAAAUUUUCUUAAAUCUAUUUUUGACCCGUUAUAAUAUUUUUUCAUGUAUUGAACAGUUUAUAUUCGUUUUUAAAAAUUCAAAUUAUAGCAUAUGCGAAAAAACUCUAAUUAUUGUUUUAUAACGAUGAUAUUAUUUUUUCGCAAAAAUAGAAUCAUAUAAAGAUGAGAGGUGUACUAUAAUAAUUAAUAAAAAAUUAAUAUGAUAA